rnacentral:rRNA from 1 species
UACGUAGGUGGCGAGCGUUGUCCGGAUUUAUUGGGUUUAAAGGGUGCGUAGGCGGCUUUGUAAGUCAGUGGUGAAAUACUCUAGCUUAACUAGAGGGGUGCCAUUGAUACUGCGGAGCUUGAGUACAGAUGAGGUAGGCGGAAUUGACGGUGUAGCGGUGGAAUGCGUAGAGAUCGGGAAGAACAUCAGUGGCGAAGGCGGCCUGCUGGGCUGUUGCUGACGCUGAGGCGCGACAGCGUGGGGAGCAAACAGG